UUCCCUUAGUAACUGCGAGUGAAGAGGGAAAAGCUCAAAUUUAAAAUCUGGCAGUGUUUCACUGUCCGAGUUGUAACCUAGAGAAGUGUAACCUGCGCUGGACCGUGUAUAAGUCUCCUGGAAUGGAGCGUCAUAGAGGGUGAGAAUCCCGUCUUUGACACGGACUACCAGUGCAUUGUGGUUGUGCUCUCAACGAGUCGAGUUGUUUGGGAAUGCAGCUCUAAAUGGGUGGUAAAUUCCAUCUAAAGCUAAAUAUUGGCGAGAGACCGAUAGCGAACAAGUACCGUGAGGGAAAGAUGAAAAGAACUUUGGAAAGAGAGUUAAACAGUAUGUGAAAUUGUUGAAAGGGAAACGUUUGAAGUCAGUCGCGUUGGUUGGGGAUCAGCCUGACAUUUGUUGGGUGUACUUCCUGGUUGACGGGCCAACAUCAGUUUUGACUGCCAGAAAAAGGCCAAAGGAAUGUGGCACCUUUGGGUGUGUUAUAGCCCUUGGUCGUAUAUGGUGGUUGGGACUGAGGAAAGCAGCGUGCCGAAAGGCCGGGUUUCGACCACGUUCACGCUGAGGAUGUUGGCAUAAUGGCUUUAAGCGACCCGUCUUGAAACACGGACCAAGGAGUCUAACAUGCAUGCGAGUGUUUGGGUGGAAAACCCUUACGCGUAAUGAAAGUGAAAGUUGAGAUCCCUGUCGCGGGGAGCAUCGACGCCCGGACCAGAACUUUUGGGACGGAUCUGCGGUAGAGCACGUAUGUUGGGACCCGAAAGAUGGUGAACUAUGCCUGAAUAGGGUGAAGCCAGAGGAAACUCUGGUGGAGGCUCGUAGCGAUUCUGACGUGCAAAUCGAUCGUCAAAUUUGGGUAUAGGGGCGAAA
rnacentral:rRNA from 1 species